GCCCGGCUAGCUCAAUCGGUAGAGCGUGAGACUCUUAAUCUCAAGGUUGUGGGUUCGACCCGUAAGUGCUUACGAGCUCUCUAGUCCAGGCA